CGCCUCUUCCAGCCCCCGCCCUCCAGCCCUAGCCGCAACCCCAACCCCAUGGAGGUCGAGAUCAAGCUCCGGCUCCCGACGCGGCCGCACACCGGCGCCUCUCCUCCUUCCUCGCGCCCCGUCUGCUCCGCACCGAUGCCCCCGCGUGGCCCACGCUGCCGCCGUCCUGCGAUCCAAGUUCCAACUGACGCAGCCGGAUCUCGUGCGAUCUCACAGCUGCCACCGCCGCCGCCGAACUCACAGUCGGAUUUCGUGCAAUCUCACAGCCGCCGCCGCCGAACUCACAGCUGGAUCUCGUGCGAUCUCGCUGCCUCCGACGUACGGAAGUCUCCACUGUAUGGGAUCGCCGCCACGGUACUGGAUCGCCGCCACGGACGUAAGAGGCUGAAGCGCGGCGGGUGGGACAGGGUGUGCGUCGCGUUGCUGGAGAACUUCCUCGAACGAACGCUGUGGUGGUGCCAUUGUCCAUUGAUCUGGAUGUCGGUAAAAAAAAAGAGGGAAAUCAAAGUCAGAAGAAUUGAAAAUACUAUGCAAUGUGUCUACAAAAAGUCCAUGCUGCCUAUUCCUACAUAAGGAUAAGGAUCCACGAGUGGGUAUUACUUUCACAAUGUUUGUUAGAAUCAUUCUUUAUACGAACUUGGUUGUACUUUCAGCCACAGAGAUGCAAAUUUCAUGGCCUAAUGCAUGAUGUGAUAGCAUAACAGAAUCUAGAGGACCUUCAGACUUGGCUCUUUGCUGGGGCGAAGGGUGUGAAGUGGUUUGCCGCAGAUUCAGAGGCCAUUUGGUUCAUCCAUAAUCUUCAAUGCAUCCCUAUCCUGAUGCUUCUAAUUUUCACUGCCCUCGGGUUUUGGAGCAUUGUGUAACUUUAUUUGGUUCAUUGCAGGUGCAGGGAACCUAUUGGAUUUACAUCUUCUACUCUCUUGACAAGGCAGUGUUCGAGGGUGUGCCUAGGUGAAACACAUGGUCUCCAUCACCCUUUCCUUCUAGAGCCGGUACCAGUGGCGGUCUUGAAGCGGUGGUGCCUUUCUAUACCAAGACUGGAUACAAAAUAAGGUUGAUUUUUGUUUGCUCUGACGAUAGGGAGGCAAGACCAGGAUCACAUUCUUGGCCCCGUUUGAAGGAACGACGAUUUUCAGGAUUGACGUGGAUUGAUUUUCUUGAACAUGAAGUUAACUACAUGUGAAGCUGAAGCUAAGCCAAUGUGCUUUUCCAGAAGAAGGCCAAGGUACAUCAAUCCAACACCAACCCACCUGCUAUGGAACUAAGGGAGGAAGGAAAAAGAACAUUGCCCCUGAAGGCUCGAGACGCACAAACAGGAAGCUGAGUUCGGGAAAGGUGGUUGUCUCCUUGACGCACACCAUAGUGCCCAUCUUUUCUAUUCUAAUGUCUUGUUCC